CAUUCUCCGCGAUUAGCAACCAGUUGGAUGUCUGCAGGACACAAACACACUUCAGCUUUAAACACAUCAGUGUGUUUUCUUCACUGAUUGCAGAUGUGUCAGUGGACAAAAUAUAGUAUUCCAUUUAGGGCUGGGCGAUAUUGCCUUUUUUUUUAAGGGGAACAUUAUCACCAGACCUAUGUAAGCGUCAAUAUAUACCUUGAUGUUGCAGAAAAAAGACCAUAUGUUUUUUUAACCUAUUUCCUAACUCUAAAAAGGGUGAAUUUGGCGAUUUAAACGGCUUUCAAUUGAUAGCCUGUGACGUCACAAUGUAUAGCGGAUCCGCCAUUUUCUCAAUCUAACUACACGCACCAAGUCAAAUCAGCUCUGUUAUUUUCCAUUUUUUCGACUGUUUUCCCGUACCUUGGAGACAUCAUGCCUCGUCGGUGUGUUGUCGGAAGGUGUAAGAACACGAACAGACGGAUUUAAGUUGCACCAGUGGCCAGAAGAUGCGAAAGUCCCUCGUUUGUUCCGCACACUUUACUGACGACAGUUAUGCUACAACAGAGAUGGCAAGAUAUCCUGCUACACUCAAAGCAGAUGAAUUUCCAACGUGCAUGAAUGCACAAAGAAACCCUUGGCAUUCUUCAUCACAUGACUCAAGCAUCGAUGCAAGAUUGGAAGACCGAUCGCCUUCUCCUUUGCUUGUCCAGUCACAAUGGCAUAGUACUGUGUGAGCAGCUCGGCUAGACUCAGGCCACAAAGGUUGUAUGCGAUGGACUGCAUUAAAACUGCUGAGCCAUCACACAUGUA